rnacentral:rRNA from 1 species
UACGAAGGGUGCAAGCGUUACUCGGAAUUACUGGGCGUAAAGCGUGCGUAGGUGGUGAGUUAAGUCUGUCGUGAAAGCCCCGGGCUCAACCUGGGAAUGGCGAUGGAUACUGGCUCGCUAGAGUGCGGUAGAGGAGAGUGGAAUUCCCGGUGUAGCAGUGAAAUGCGUAGAGAUCGGGAGGAACAUCAGUUGCGAAGGCGGCUCUCUGGACCAGCACUGACAC